rnacentral:rRNA from 1 species
AGUAACACGUGGGAACAUACCUUAUAGUACGGAAUAACUGCGGGAAACUGUACCUAAUACCGUAUACUCCAGAAAUGGGAAAGAUUUAUCGCUAUAAGAUUGGCCCGCGCAACAUUACUUUGUUGGUGAGGUAAAAGCUCACCAAGGCUUCGAUCUUUAACUGGUUUGAGAGGACGAUCAGCCACACUGGGACUGAGACACGGCCCAGACUCCUACGGGAGGCAGCAGUAGGGAAUAUUGGACAAUGGGGGCAACCCUGAUCCAGCAAUGCAGCGUGAGUGACGAAGGCCUUAGGGUUGUAAAACUCUUUCAUCGGUGAGGAUAAUGACAGUAGCCGAAGAAGAAGGACCGGCUAAUUCCGUGCCAGCAGCCGCGGUAAUACGGAAG